rnacentral:rRNA from 1 species
GACGGAGGGUGCUAGCGUUGUUCGGAAUCACUGGGCGUAAAGGGCGCGUAGGCGGCCCAUGCCGUCGGCUCGUGAAAGCCCGGGGCUCAACCCCGGAGGUGCGGCCGAGACCCAUGGGCUGGAGGCCGGAAGAGGAGGGUGGAAUACCCAGUGUAGAGGUGAAAUUCGUAGAUAUUGGGUGGAACACCGGUGGCGAAAGCGGCUCUCUGGUCCGGUUCUGACGCUGAGGCGCGAAAGCGUGGGGAGCAAACAGG